GACCCGGUGGUGAAUUGAAUCACGUGCGCUUUGGAUGCUGCCUUCCACAUCGUGGCGCCAGCGGAAGGUGCCCGUUCAAGUCGGGUCCGGGUCC